GAAACAAGCGCACAAACUUAUACUCUUUUCUUCUACUACUACUACUACUACUAAUCAUUGUUGUUGUUGUUGUUGAUGUGCUUUUCGUUACUUUAACGUUAUUUCGAGCACACAGCUUUAAUUGCGAUGCAUGUGCGUGAGAGCCUUUUGUGUUUGCGUAAGGAUCAUUUGCAUACUUUUGAUUUUGUCCAAAGUGCACAAAUGUACAUAUGUACUCUUAUAAAUAUGUGUAUUAUUAUCUUAUACUGUGUAUACGUAUGUAUAUAUUGCUCACAUUUCGCUCUCUCAGUUACAUCAUCAAUUUAACAACAACACGGGCGGAACUUUCUUCACAUUUAUUGCUGAGUUAGCCCUGGCUCAAGGUCAGAGCCCGCCUGCAGUUUUGUCAAUACAACAUGCCAAAGCUUUAGAGUGCAGUCAAAUUCCCAAAAAUCGCUGUCUAGUCAGACAAUUGGACGGCAACGAUGUACCGUAAUUUAGUCAACCGCUAACUGUGCUUGAUUUUUGUUCUAUUUCUGUCCGCAAGAGAUACUCUUUUAAGUACUCGUUCUUUUCAAUUUUAUUUAUGUUUAUUGCGGCCAUCAUCAUCAUCAAGUGCUUUAAUUAAUGUUUCCGUAACGGUGACACAGCGCACACACGCACGCCCACACAGAUUGCACUCAAUUAACGCAUGCAUAUGUAUGUGUGUGUGUGUGUGUGUGUGUGAACGACUAAAGCUCAAGAGUUAAAGCUCUGUUUACACUUCAGUCAUUGCACUUUUCGCUGUGCAGCAUUUCUCAGGUUCUGUGUGGGUCUCACCGGUCCUAACCGGUUCGUUGCUGUUGCUGACCGUUUCAAGUCUGGCGCCGUGCGCUUAAAGCGAAGCACCAAAAGCAAAUAAUACGCGAGUGCACUUAAGCAACUGUAGAAAGCAACAGCAAGUUUCAAACUUCUGAUUAACGCCAGCCCUUACCCCCUCCUGCAGAGCAUUGCGUGUUAACUCGGAAAGCGAAGGGAAUUUUUGAUGGCUUUAAACUGUGUUCGCUGAUUUGGGGCAGGCUAUUAAUAGGACCCCUUGGAAAGUGCAUAUGUAUGUAGGUACAGCCCGUACACGCAUAGUUCGUGGAAUAUUAAAUCGCUCAAUUAAUCUGAUUGUGAGCUAUUAUUGUUAUUAUAGAGAGGCUUUGCUCGCCGCCACGACUUUCAUUAAGCCCAAUCGUGCUUGGGGCUGGCUUAAUGAAAAGUCCUAAAUACCUAAGCAGAAAUAAAGCUGCCUAACUGAUCCUGGCUACCGGAGAUA